GGGAAAUGUCAUCUCCAGUUAGGUGGCCCCUGUCCAGCUAUAACUCCAUAACUAACAGCAGGAGGGAACAGAUUUUGGUGGAUCACGAGCAAUUUCUGCUGUGCAUGUCCUGGGCCAUAUGACCAUCACAAGAUGGGGUGUUGAAGCCGCUGAGUCAGACUUCUAGACAGAUCUUGCGAAAACCUCAGUUUGAGUCCCAAUCCCCUUCAGGCUCCACUAGACGAAGUCCAAAUUCCAUGGUACAACUUCCCUCUCCAUUUCCUGCCUCACUCACCAAACUGAUUGUCACUUCUGACACUUGCCGCUCUGGCUGCUCUGAUCCAGUACACUAAUGUGUCUGCACUUCAGAAACAUUACAUAUCGAAAAAGUAAGGCGCACCCCGAAUGGAGGAAGGGCAGUAAGAGGGCAGAAGAGAACGGGAGGGGUGAUGGCCAAGGUGCUCCUGGAGAAGCCGGCUGCAGCCAGGUCCUCAAGGGCCUUGGGUGUCAGUCACCAGAGUUUGGCUAUUUUCCCGGAGACAAUAAGAGGCUCCUCAGGGAUUCGGCAGGAGGAGGUGAGUGACAUGGUCAGAUUCGGCCUUUAAAGAGACCGCUGUGCAGCUGUAUGGAGACACGGGUUGCAGAGGGCAGAUUCAGGGACGGAAGACCAGGUGAAGGAAGCCAGGUGUGGCCUAAGGCCUGACCGUGGGGCCAGACACCAGGGCAAAGACUCAGAACAAAUUGAGAUGAAUUGAUGGGAGUUACUGAUUCAUUGAAAACGCCGAGGGCAG
rnacentral:lncRNA from 1 species